rnacentral:rRNA from 1 species
AACCGGAUUAGAUACCCUGGUAGUCCACGCUGUAAACGAUGAAAACUAGAUGUUGUUGGGCUUAGACCCAUCAGUAUCGAAGCUAACGCGAUAAGUUUUCCGCCUGGGGAGUACGGUCGCAAGAUUAAAACUCAAAGAAAUUGACGGGGGCCCGCACAAGCGGUGGAGCAUGUGGUUUAAUUCGAUGCAACGCGAAGAACCUUACCUACCCUUGACAUCCAGAGAAUCCUGCAGAGAUGCGGGAGUGCCGAAAGGAAUUCUGAGACAGGUGCUGCAUGGCUGUCGUCAGCUCGUGUUGUGAGAUGUUGGGUUAAGUCCCGUAACGAGCGCAACCCUUAUCCUUAGUUGCCAACACGUAAUGGUGGGGACUCUAAGGAGACUGCCGGUGAUGAACCGGAGGAAGGCGGGGACGACGUCAAGUCAUCAUGGCCUUUAUGGGUAGGGCUACACACGUGCUACAAUGGGCGGUACAGAGGGUAGCAAGCGUGCGAGCGCAAGCCAAUCCCUAAAAGCCGUUCGUAGUCCGGAUCGGAGUCUGCAACUCGACUCCGUGAAGUCGGAAUCGCUAGUAAUCGCGAAUCAGAAUGUCGCGGUGAAUACGUUCCCGGGCCUUGUACACACCGCCCGUCACACCAUGGGAGUGGGUUGUACCAGAAGUAGGUAGUUUAACCGCAAGGAGAACGCUUACCACGGUAUGGUUCAUGACUGGGGUGAAGUCGUAACAAGGUAACCGUA